GCUGGGAACGAGCAUUUUCAAAAAACAAGUUUCGUCCCGGGUCUUUACGGGUUAACAAGGAUGUAACGUCUCGAAGAAGACGGGUAUAGUUUGACAUCACAGCAGAAUUUCCACCUUCAUACUAAUGUCUACCGUCGGCAAAAUCAAACACGCAACAAUUUGCUUCCAUGCGACACGGGGACGGGAACAUUUUCUUCUUCCAAGCCACGCAUCACGACACAAUACAUGUUAUUUUGUUGCCUUCAUGAGUGCUCUAAAUGAAUUAAAGAUUUAAUAUUUUCUCGUUCUGAGCUUUAACCGAAAGAUAAUUUUCUUAAUUUGAAUUCACAUGUAUACUCUGACUGUUGAAACUUGUUUGCGCCGCAAAGAGUUUGUACUCUUCCUGUUCAGUGAGGUCGUAUUUAUAUGUGCAAACUGAAAUUGAGUAGUACUUCAACUUCAUUUGCACAGAAUUUUCAAUACUGCCAAUGAACGGUCAACAUUUAUGUACUAGGAAAAAUGACUGACACGCAAGCAGCCGGGUUAUCUUUCUUGUGGCUUUGCACACAACCCUCCUGUUAUUUUAUUUUUUGCUUUCUAUCUUUAAUAGUGAAAUCAAUAUUUUUUUUUCUAUCUUGUUCAGAUUUAUUUUCACUUCAACUGUGAUAAACACAUACGAACAAGCAAAUUUGAAAUUGUUUGAUUUGUUUAGUUUGGCCUGAUGAUAAGCACUUACACGCAUUAAAAAUUCGUUCAGCUUAUUAUAUAGCAAAACAAAGCCUUGGUGCUACGUUCCGAUUCGGAACUUGACUUUCUGUUUUUAUUUAUACACAGACUUCGCAGCCGAUUGUUUAGUUUACAGGACAAUUGCGGGGCUAGCGCCACGAUCCUACUGACUCUAACAGUCUCUCCCGAGACGAGACUCGAACCUAUGACGACUGGUUUGUUAGGCCAGCAUCGUACCUCGAAACCAUCUGGGAAGUUUCAGAUUAUAUAUGCCGAAUGAAUUUAUGAUUAGUUUAAUAGUAUACAAUAUGAAAAAAAAAAUUAAUCCACCUAGCGGUCAGACCCAGCCUUUCUCAUUCAAAUUUAUUAUUUGUAAAAUAGAUUUACAUGACUGCUUAAAUCCAAUAAAGGUAUAUUCACUCUUUGGGUUCCAAAAUAUUGAUGUUGUAAUUUAAGUAUAAAAAAUGAAAUUUGACGUAAUAUUAGUGCUUAAGAAAUAGCGAAAGAGACAAAUCCCGCCAAAUGACCGAUGAUUGAAUAUCGACCAUUUUUGAUUUGAAUGAAACUUUGCACACGUAUUUGGCUUAGCAAACUGAGCAUUGUUCACAGAUGGAGAGAUUUUUUACACCCAUGAGUUACAUUCUAAAAGGGCGUAUGUCUUUUGGCAUAGGUUUUAUUCGAAGCAUUGUAGUCCAGAAACCGUUGGUUGUAUAGAAAAACUGUCUGAGAAUGAGUUAUAGGGAAUUAAAAAUGCAUCAUCAAAAAAUUAUACA